CCCCAGCCAGGCGCCGAGCGUCCCGCGCAGCCUCCCCAUGCCUGCCCGCGCGCGGCUGCUGCGGCUCAAAACGGGGCCCCCUCGGGGUGGUAGCUGCGAGGAAGAUCCAUGGCAGACCUGACCCACUGGCUUCCUGCUUCUGCCUAUUGUACUCCAGCUCAUUGGCAAGAAAGUAAUAGAGGACCCUAACAAAGAACUAGGAGAAAAGGGGCCAUUUCACCCUUCUGAACCCUUGAGACAAGAUGACAAAAAUCACCAAGCCCUUUUUACAGAAUAUAUCCUGAUCCCAAACAAGCCAUACACUACUGACCCUGUUCCUUUGCAUUAUCCUUCUGCUCAUGUAAAACCAACUGCUGUUUCCCAGCUGUUAGUGUAAUGCCUAACCUGCAUGCCAUAAUGUCCCCUCUUAGCAGGGGCGGCUCUACCAAUUUUGCCGCCCCAAGCAGUCGCCGCUGAAUUGCCGCCGCCGCAACAGUGGCGGAGCUGCCACCAAAUUGCUGCCACGCCAGGAAGAGCGGCGGAGCUGCCGCCGAAUUUCCGCUGCGGGACACGGACUGCCACCCCAUUCUGAAUGCCGCCCCAAGCACCUGCUUCGAAAGCUGGUGCCUGGAGCCGGCCCUGCCUCUUAGAACAUCAGGAAGAUCUCCCCCCAGCUCAGCAGCAUGUUUUAAGGGGGCCAUUUGUGAAGCAGAUGAUAAGCUCCUUUUCUGAUUGCUGGGGUAUUGCACAACAUACUGAGACAAUACAGCAGGUAUUGCCAGUUGGUAAUUCAAUUAUCCCAAGGUUGUGUUGACCUCAGAAGGGAUCAUUGGUGUGCAUGGUGCCAAUUAAAGCUGGCUGGGAAUUUUCCGAUUACAUGGUUUUCUGUAGGAAAAUGCUGACUUGUCAAAACCAAAACUAUUUGCAGGAAAGGGUCAGUUUCAACAAGUGUCCAGAUUUCGGGAAAAGGAGUGUGUAAAGAGUUUUGAAAUUUUCAAAACAUCCUGUUUUGACAGUUUUGAAAUGGAAAAAUGCAUUUUUGGUUUGAAAUGACUUUUUGUUCAGAAAUUUUAAUUUACACUAAAAAAGUAAAAUAUAUUUAAGGGUUGAAAUGGAAACACAAUGAUUUGAAAUGAUCACAAUGAAACGUUUCAACUGACUUAGUACAAAAAAAAUUCAGAUUAUUGGUGUGUGAAAAAAAUGUGAGAUUUUGACUUUUCAUUCUGAUUUGGGAUCUGAAAUUUUUUCAAAACCUCAAAUUCUCACAGGAUGGGAAAAGCCUUUCCUGCCCAGCUCCACUGGUAAUAUAUAAUGCAAAUUCGGUGCAAAGCCUCAUCAUACCACAAUGCAGAUUAUUCUUGUUACACACAUCAUAAUAGUUCUGUGGGAGCCAUCAGGAUUUAGUAAGAGAGCAGAACCUGGUUAAGAUUAAAAUGAAUCCUUUGCCAAGCAGAGUUGGAGCUAAGCUAUAAAGUUCAUAUUUGGAUUCAGAUCAAACUAGAACAGACCCAGAGUUCUGGGGUAUUCAGUUACAAGGCGUUGGUUUAUUAUGUUGUAGUGAUAAGGGCCAGCCAUUAAAUUUGGCUCUGCAUCUGAACUUCUCUAAAAGGUGGGAUUGAUUGGAUCUGUGCAUUUAUUUUAGCCCCAUCUCUAUGUACGAAGAACAAAUACAGUAUGUGGCCAUUUUUCCCAGGGGGAACAACUCCACUUCUUCAAAGGUUUUGGUUUCCCUUUCUUCCUUUUGAGAAUUCAGGAGCAUACACCACACCCUCAUAUUCUGUCCACUGGGUAUGUGACGGACGGUGGAUGCAGCUUUGCCCUUGUGAAAAUUUAGGUCUUAAUUUGUUAAGGCAGCUAGAAUACUUUAAGAAGACACAUAGCCCAGUUCUAUCAGCCUUACUCACAAUGAGUAGUGCCUUCUCCAAGAGCGGUUGAUACUCACAGAACAAGUACCAAAGAUAUUACUCACUAUGAGUAAGGCUGGUAGAUUGGGCCCUAUAUAAAUGAUAAUUUAUUAUUUUAUUAAGAUAUGCUGUCUUUACCUAUGUAACUUGUUAAUUAUUGAGAAACUGCCCAGUGCAAACUGAAAUCCUCAGUCCAUUCUCUCCUACCUCCCAUCAGUAAACAUGCAAUCUUCUCAGUUUUGUAUCCUAAAAAUAAAUAUUAGCUGUAGGAGUUUAUACUGUAAGUUAUUACAAUGGGCAGGAACCAU